rnacentral:piRNA from 1 species
UGCCUAUGAUCUUUGCAUUAUGCUCCUGA